GGGGGGGGGGGGGGGGGGGGGGGGGGGGGGGGGGGCGGGGGGGGGGGGGGGGCGGGGGGGGGGGGGUCGGGUGGCGGAGGGGGGAGGAACACGGGAGUAACCUGCCCUGGACUGUGGGAUAACUUCAGGAAACUGGGGCUAAUACCGGAGAGGAGCUCCUGCUGCAUGGUGGGGGUUGGAAAGUUUCGGCGGUGGGGGAUGGACUCGCGGCUUAUCAGCUUGUUGGUGGGGUAGUGGCUUACCAAGGCUUUGACGGGUAGCCGGCCUGAGAGGGUGACCGGCCACAUUGGGACUGAGAUACGGCCCAGACUCCUACGGGAGGCAGCAGUGGGGAAUAUUGCACAAUGGGCGGAAGCCUGAUGCAGCAACGCCGCGUGCGGGAUGACGGCCUUCGGGUUGUAAACCGCUUUCGCCUGUGACGAAGCGUGAGUGACGGUAAUGGGUAAAGAAGCACCGGCUAACUACGUG
rnacentral:rRNA from 1 species